GUCUGUUUGGAGAUAUAAAGAGUCUAACCUGCCCAAUGAAAAUUGUAAAUUUAAAGGCCGCGGUAUUUUAACCGUGCAAAGGUAGCAUAAUCAUUAGGUUUUUAAUUGAGAUCUUGUAUGAAAGGUUGAACAAAAGAGAAGCUGUCUCUAUAUUAAAAUUAAAAUUUAACUUUUAAGUGAAAAGGCUUAAAUAAUUUAAAAAGACGAUAAGACCCUAUAAAACUUUACAUUUAAAUUUUAUUAAUUUGAAGUUAAAUAUAAAAAUUUAGUUAAAUUAUUUGUUUUGUUGGGGUGACAUAGGUAAAAGUGUUGUUAACUGCUUGGAAUUAGAGACAAUUAUUUGUGGAGAGUUAAAAGAGCCUUUAUAGAGAUUUAAAGAUUAAGUUACUUUAGGGAUAACAGCGUAAUUUUUUUUGAGAGUUCUUAUCGAAAAAAAAGUUUACGACCUCGAUGUUGAAUUAAAGUAUCUAUAUAAUGCAGAAGUUAUAUAAGAAGGUCUGUUCGACCUUUAAAAUUUUACAUGAUUUGAGUUCAAACCGGCGUGAG
rnacentral:rRNA from 1 species